rnacentral:lncRNA from 1 species
UGACGUGUGGGUGCCCUCCGGCCUUCUUCCAGACGCCAUUCAGUCAUUCUGUAAUCUGCAUUCUUGGAGAUUGGGAAAAUGGGAGAAGUAUAUACGAGGGAACGAAGAAUAGAGAACACUAGGAUUGGAGACGGUUGCAAGCUACAAAGUUGAGGACAAUCGAUUUUAUUUAUUUCUUAUUUGCCGGCCGUUGUGUUCCCUAUAGCAGGCUUUGAAAAUGUGUUAAGUCUUGGAGAUCAUUUUUUAGUUAGUGGUGAAGUGCUAACGACUUUAGCUAGGUGACUAGGUCACAUGUAAGUAUUCUAAGGUAUUCUAUGUGUAUUUUGGAUACCGGUUACUUAAUUCUCCACUAAACGUUUUCCUUCCAUCGAGCUAGGCCAGUCUCAAUAGAGUUUCAUGAAAAGUUUUAUGAGCGUUAAAUUUUAGGUCACGUCAACAAUUUUGCUGACUUGGC